rnacentral:rRNA from 1 species
GUUUGAUCCUGGCUCAGAAUGAACGCUGGCGGCAUGCCUUACACAUGCAAGUCGAACGGCAGCAUGACCUAGCUUGCUAGGUUGAUGGCGAGUGGCGAACGGGUGAGUAAUGCAUCGGAACGUGCCUUUUAGUGGGGGAUAACGUAGCGAAAGUUACGCUAAUACCGCAUAUUCUCUGAGGAGGAAAGCAGGGGACCUUCGGGCCUUGCGCUAGAAGAGCGGCCGAUGUCGGAUUAGCUAGUUGGUGAGGUAAAGGCUCACCAAGGCAACGAUCCGUAGCGGGUCUGAGAGGAUGAUCCGCCACACUGGGACUGAGACACGGCCCAGACUCCUACGGGAGGCAGCAGUGGGGAAUUUUGGACAAUGGGCGCAAGCCUGAUCCAGCCAUGCCGCGUGAGUGAAGAAGGCCUUCGGGUUGUAAAGCUCUUUCGGCUGGGAAGAAAUCGCACUCUCUAAUACAGGGUGUGGAUGACGGUACCAGCAUAAGAAGCACCGGCUAACUACGUGCCAGCAGCCGCGGUAAUACGUAGGGUGCGAGCGUUAUUCGGAAUUACUGGGCGUAAAGCGUGCGCAGGCGGUUGUGUAAGACAGACGUGAAAUCCCCGGGCUCAACCUGGGAACUGCGUUUGUGACUGCACGGCUAGAGUACGGCAGAGGGGGGUGGAAUUCCACGUGUAGCAGUGAAAUGCGUAGAGAUGUGGAGGAACACCGAUGGCGAAGGCAGCCCCCUGGGCCAGUACUGACGCUCAUGCACGAAAGCGUGGGGAGCAAACAGGAUUAGAUACCCUGGUAGUCCACGCCCUAAACGAUGUNCACUANCUGUUGGUGGGGUUAAACCCAUUANUAGCGUAGCUAACGCGUGAAAGUGACCGCCUGGGGAGUACGGCCCGCAAGGUUAAACUCAAAGGAAUUGACGGGGACCCGCACAAGCGGUGGAUGAUGUGGGAUUAAUUCAAUGCAACGC